UUUUGGUGUGUUUUCAGAAGUUUGUCUGUUGCAAUGUUUCUUAUUUUUUUUAAUAUGUCUAAAAUGUCUGAUGAAUUUAAAAAAGUAAUAUUAUCAAGACGAAGAAACUACUUUUCGAUAGUGGAAGAAGUAACGAUGAGAAACAAUUGUAGAAAGUAUAUAAGUGUCAAGGAGGAUAGUCUCACCGACAGCAGUAAGAACUUCGCAAACCUCCGACUUCCGAUGGAGUUCUCCAAUAUCAACAAACCAAAAUGAUCAUGAAAGUGUUGUGGAACGCAUUCUGCAAAAGCAGGCAUCGACAGAUAUUGAAAGACUAAUCAAUUCAAUUCAUCGUGUUUUCUCCAACUAACGUACGAAGUACGUACAAAGUUACGUACAAAGUUAGGAGCAAAUCAUGUGGAAAAACAAAAUUUUGGAAGAAGAAGUGUCGCUACGACUAUAAGAAUCAAGAGCACAUAAAUCGUUGGAGAAGACCCAAAUUCUAAAUCCAUAAUUCUAACUUGUUUCGCUGAGAUCAAAGCCGUCAUUUUGUAAAUCAAACUCACAGGCGCCAGUAUUUCUUUGGUAUGUUCCAGUUCACAAAUAGCGUUAGGUUGGACGUACCUAGAGCUCGUCAGAAAACACUGUCCAACAAGUUAUGCCAUUUAUUAGUCGUUACAGUAUUUCGUAAUACAAUUAUCAUCGAAACAACAAAGGCAAUUGUUAAUUCGUAAUGUUCAGAAUGAUGGCAGCGUUGGAAAUGGAGGAGCAGUUUAAGACUUCCAGCAUACGAACGGCAUAACAUUAUCCCUUCGUUGGUCUCUAGAGGUCAGGCUGUCCUCUUUGGUAAUUAUUCAGUAAGGGUCCGCCAGAAAAGGGUUUCAGGUGGGGGAAAUUUGAGUGGUCCGCCACUAAAAUUACAACGUCGAGGGCGCAAAGGGUUUCUGAAACUAUGGCCUUCGCUCUGUUGCGUAGCCGAGGCGUC